AACUUUAGUUUUGAGAUUUUCGUGCGUCAACAAUAGCCUAGUUUCACUUGCCUUGAUUGCAUUUUUCAAUUCUUCUUUAUUUUUUUGGAUUUCAUCCAUUAUUUUUUCAACGGCAGCGUCAUUCAUAAUUUUAGUUGUUUCAAUUAUCUAUAGUGUAUGAACGCCUUUAAUUAACGAGAUAGCUGUGUUCUUCUUUGCAGGAUUUGUCGCAGCUGUUCCCUUUUUUUGCCGAGUACGUCGUUCUCUGAUAAUACGUAUGAAUAUUUCAAAUAAUUAUAUUUCAAUGCUUUUCCAUGGAUUGAAUCAAAUGAUUCUUCAGCCUUAUAAUGUUUUCUGUAGUACUCACCAAUAUUGAAGAACAUCUGUAAGCGAAGACUUAUCUUAUUAAAUCAUAAUUAUGAAGUGAAUACUGUUAACAAUGAAACUUUUCAAAAAUAUGUGUCAUCAGAGUUGCUGACACCUGUAAGUCAGCUUCUGAGUGUCUCGGAGCUUGCAUAGACUGAAUGAAUUUUAGAGAAAGAGACUCCCCCGCCCCCUGGAAAUCAAGAUAUAAAAAAAGAAAAUUUGAUGGGAACCACCAUUAUCAAGAAGGAGACCACAUUUCCAAAAUGGUUGUUACGGCGAGUCGACUACAUUUCCUUGCGUCACAUUUUGGAGCUUCGUGACCCCAGGAAUCAUUAUGCUUACCAAUUAAAUCUUUGUCUUUAUUACUUCAUAGCAUUACUGCUGCGCUCAACUGAUAUUUUGGUAUAGUACUUUGAAUGUGAAAUGAAAAAAAGAAGGAGACUACAAUUUCCAAGGCUCUCACUCGAACAGAGUUUGUUGAGAAAUAUUACACUCCUUGAUAAGAGAUUGAAUCUCUUAAAAACAGGAAGAAAAUUAAUGAAGGAAUUCUUACUACAUUAAAGGAUAGAGAAGCGAAAGUUAUGAUUAAUACACAGAUAAUUGAAAUAAAAGUGGAGUAGUGAGAACCGUUUUGCAAUCACAGAGUCAAAUCCAAGGUGUCCCACCCUGGAUUUGUCUUUGUGACUUU